AUGGUUUCGGCUAUCGCUUACAGAUGGGCCCGCGGUGCAUUAGCUAGUUGGUAGGGUAAUGGCCUACCAAGGCAACGAUGCAUAGCCGACCUGAGAGGGUGAUCGGCCACACUGGGACUGAGACACGGCCCAGACUCCUACGGGAGGCAGCAGUAGGGAAUCUUCCGCAAUGGACGAAAGUCUGACGGAGCAACGCCGCGUGUAUGAAGAAGGUUUUCGGAUCGUAAAGUACUGUUGUUAGAGAAGAACAAGGAUAAGAGUAACUGCUUGUCCCUUGACGGUAUCUAACCAGAAAGCCACGGCUAACUACGUGCCAGCAGCCGCGGUAAUACGUAGGUGGCAAGCGUUGUCCGGAUUUAUUGGGCGUAAAGCGCGCGCAGGCGGUCUUUUAAGUCUGAUGUGAAAGCCCCCGGCUUAACCGGGGAGGGUCAUUGGAAACUGGAAGACUGGAGUGCAGAAGAGGAGAGUGGAAUUCCACGUGUAGCGGUGAAAUGCGUAGAUAUGUGGAGGAACACCAGUGGCGAAGGC
rnacentral:rRNA from 1 species